UUUGUAGAAGAAAGCAGGCUAACGAGUUCCAUGGUACAUUUUGUUAAAGUAUUUAAUUGUAUCCAACACAAAUAUCCAGAACGGAAUUGUUCAAGUAAAUGGUCGUAAUACACAAUGAGUACACGGAUUACUCAAGUUAAUCCGAAUCAUGUCUUCUUCUCUUCUCCUUGUCUUUCCUAUGUUUCCUCCUGUCAUCUGAAUCUUUGGGUAUGCUUCCUCUUAUCGUCUGAAUCGCGGGACUGUUUCCUCUUAUCAUCUGUAUCCUGCAAGUGUCGCUUCUCUCUCCUUUCAUCUUUUUCCCGUCUCUUCUCUUCUCGCCUCCUCCUCUUUCGGCUCCUUUCAUCCUCUGACUCUUCUUCAUUCUGUAGGUGGUGCAGCAGCAGUUACACUUGCAUUAAUCUUUUCUGCAGGCUCAUUGAUCGGAUUAGAUGGAAAAGCCGAUGGUGAAAUUGGCUCUUCCCAAGGUUUGGGCAAUCUGCAGAUUGCGUUAACAAACAUGAUUAGGCACCCGUACACAAUAAAGAAGAAACAAAUCCACACAGUAGUCCUUUAUUAUUUUCUUUAAAUCUUACUUUAGCUACUCUAGAACCUUUCGUCUUUAAAGUCAAGCCAACGUUCCUCGACUAGCAAUAUAACUGAGAAAUUCAUCCAAUUUAGUUACUCUAGAACCUUUCGUCUUUAAAGUCAAGCCAACGUUCCUCGACUAGCAAUAUAACUGAGAAAUUCAUCCAUGCGACUAUUUCUUCCAAGUAGUUAAUAAUGUUAGAAAGAAAUUUCUUAAUGAUAUUGCUAAUCUUCAACUCUUGGUUAUUAAAUUGUACCCUUGGGACUGAAAUCUUACAUAGUCCAUCCAACUUCUGCAGUUUAGUUAGUUUAUGUACUAUACAUACAGAAUCAUUAAAAACCCAAAAUGGUAAGAAACUUUUUUUUUUCUAAGAGUUUGACAUAUACUCCUAU
rnacentral:lncRNA from 1 species